rnacentral:rRNA from 1 species
UACGUAGGGAGCAAGCGUUGUCCGGAAUCACUGGGCGUAAAGGGCGCGUAGGCGGCGCGAGCAGUCGAUCGUGAAAGUCCGGAGCUCAACUCCGGAUCGGCGGUCGAUACUCUCGUGCUUGAGCACUGUAGAGGCAGAUGGAAUUCCGGGUGUAGCGGUGGAAUGCGUAGAGAUCCGGAAGAACACCGGUGGCGAAGGCGGUCUGCUGGGCAGUUGCUGACGCUGAUGCGCGACAGCGUGGGGAGCAAACAGG